GAUGGAGGUGUGACUAGGUAAUGGGGAUGGAGGUGUGACUAGGUACUAGGGAUGGAGGUGUGACUAGGGAUGGAGGUGUGACCAGGCACUAGGGAUGGAGGUGUGACUAGGUACUAUGGAUGGAGGUGUGACUAGGUACUAGGGAUGGAGGUGUGACUAGGGAUGGAGGUAUGACUAGGUACUGGGGAUGGAGGUGUGACCAGGCACUAGGGAUGGAGGUGUGACUAGAGAUGGAGGUGUGACAAGAUACUAGGGAAGGAGGUGUGAAAAGGUACUAGGGAUGGAGGUGUGAAAAAGUACUAGGGAUGGAGAUGUGACUAGGGAUGGAGGUGUGACUAGGUACUGGGGAUGGAGGUGUGACUAGGUACUAGGGAUGGAGGUGUGACUAGGUACUAGGGAUGGAGGUGUGACCAGGUAUUAGGGAUGGAGGUGUGACCAGGUACUAGGGAUGGAGGUGUGACCAGGUACUAGGGAUGGAGGUGUGACCAGGUACUAGGGAUGGAGGUGUGACCAGGCACUAGGGAUGGAGGUGUGACCAGGCACUAAGGAUGGAGUUGUGACCAGGUACUAGUGAUGGAGGUUUGACCAGGUACUAGGGAUGGAGGUGUAACGGA
ensembl:lncRNA